GAGUUUGAUCAUGGCUCAGAACGAACGCUGGCGGCGUGCCUAACACAUGCAAGUCGUACGAGAAAAUUCGCUUCGGCGGAUGAGUAAAGUGGCGCACGGGUGAGUAACGCGUGGAUAAUCUUCCCUUUAGUCCGGGAUAACUCACCGAAAGGUGAACUAAUACUGAAUAAUACUGUUUCUGCUAAGGCGGAGCAGUUAAAGAGGACCUCUGUAUACAAGUUCUUGCUAAAGGAUGAGUCCGCGUACCAUUAGCUAGUUGGUAGGGUAAUAGCCUACCAAGGCGACGAUGGUUAGCUGGUCCGAGAGGAUGACCAGCCACACUGGAAUUGAGAUACGGUCCAGACUCCUACGGGAGGCAGCAGUGAGGGAUUUUGCGCAAUGGGGGAAACCCUGACGCAGCAACGCCGCGUGAGUGAGGAAGGCCUUCGGGUCGUAAAGCUCUGUCAGAUGGGAAGAAAUGCGGGAAUGUCAAUAGCUUUCCCGCUUGACGGUACCAUCAGAGGAAGCACCGGCUAACUCCGUGCCAGCAGCCGCGGUAAUACG
rnacentral:rRNA from 1 species